rnacentral:rRNA from 1 species
GAUGAACGCUGGCGGCGCGCCUAACACAUGCAAGUCGAACGGCACCUGCCUUCGGGCAGAAGCGAGUGGCGAACGGCUGAGUAACACGUGGAGAACCUGCCCCCUCCCCCGGGAUAGCCGCCCGAAAGGACGGGUAAUACCGGAUACCCCGGGGUGCCGCAUGGCACCCCGGCUAAAGCCCCGACGGGAGGGGAUGGCUCCGCGGCCCAUCAGGUAGACGGCGGGGUGACGGCCCACCGUGCCGACAACGGGUAGCCGGGUUGAGAGACCGACCGGCCAGAUUGGGACUGAGACACGGCCCAGACUCCUACGGGAGGCAGCAGUGGGGAAUCUUGCGCAAUGGGGGGAACCCUGACGCAGCGACGCCGCGUGCGGGACGGAGGCCUUCGGGUCGUAAACCGCUUUCAGCAGGGAAGAGUCAAGACUGUACCUGCAGAA